CAUGUUGGAGGAAGCAGUGCCUUCUGUGCGGUGGAAACGCCGUGGCUUCACCGGUAGCGUCGGGGAGCGCAGCCUCCUACCUUUUCUCCUCGCUCGAGUGUCGGUGCUGAGAGGCGGCGGCCGGCGGGAUGGAGAGAAGUAGGAUGAACCUGCCCAAGGGGCUGGACACGCUCUGCUUCGACAAGGACGAGUUCAUGAAGGAAGAUUUCGAUGUUGAUCACGUUGUGUCUGACUGUAGGAAGCGUGUCCAGCUGGAGGAACUAAGAGGAGAUCUGGAACUCUACUAUAAACUUUUAAAACAGCCAUGGUUGAGCUCAUCAACAAGGAUUAUGCAGAUUUUGUCAACCUUUCCACAAACUUGGUUGGCAUGGACAAAGCCCUCAAUGAACUUUCUGUGCCUUUGGGACAGUUAUGAGAAGUUCUGAGUCUCAGGUCAUCAGUCAGUGAAGGAAUUCGGGCAGUAGAUGAACUAAUGUGUAAACAACAGGACAUAAGGAAGAAAAAGAUGUGUGUGUUGAUGCUUAUACAAGUUAUUUGAUCAGUUGAAAAGAUUGAAAAAAUCUUAAAUUCACAAAGUUCUAAAGAAACCUCUGCACUAGAAGCAAGCAGCGUAUAGCCCACAUUACGGCCAUGCUGCAGCAGUCCCUGGGAGGCCUGUUGCUAGAAGGGCUUCAGACUUCCAAUGUGGACAUCAUACGGCACUGCCUCCGGACUUAAGCUACAUUUGACAAGACACGGGAUGCAGAGGCGUUCGUUGGUCAAGUACUGGUGAAACUGUACAUGGAUGAGGUUUGUGCUCCCAUGCACCUCAUUCCACAAACACAGAGCAUCUAAUCUGGCUUCGUUUCUUGACUGGGUGCGAGAGAGCUCAGGGCUCUUCCUUGAAGAUGCUCUUAGUUCCUGCUCUUCUGGAUGUAAGAAAAGGUUGGUCCCGCUUGGAGCCCAUCAGCAUGGCAGGAAUCAGGCAUGCGCUCUUUUCUCUUCCAGUGAUGCCAUAACUCAGGGAUCAUCUUAAUUUAGUAGGGGUGAGGGACUUGCCUCGGAAGAAGGUACGGAUCAGAACAUUUUCAGGC